GACGAACGCUGGCGGCGUGCUUAACACAUGCAAGUCGAACGAGGUCCAUGGUGCUUGCACCGGAAGACCUAGUGGCGAACGGGUGAGGAACACGUGAGAAACCUGCCCUGGACUCUGGGAUAACAGUUGGAAACGACUGCUAAUACCGGAUGCCGUCACCGAGUGGCAUCACUUGGUGACGAAAGAAUUUCGGUCCAGGAGGGUCUCGCGGCCUAUCAGCUAGUUGGUGGGGUAACGGCCUACCAAGGCAUCGACGGGUAGCUGGUCUGAGAGGAUGAUCAGCCACACUGGGACUGAGACACGGCCCAGACUCCUACGGGAGGCAGCAGUGGGGAAUCUUGUGCAAUGGGCGAAAGCCUGACACAGCAACGCCGCGUGCGGGAAGAAGGCCUUCGGGUCGUAAACCGCUUUCAGCAGGAACGAAAAUGACGGUACCUGCAGAAGAAGGUGCGGCCAACUACGUGCCAGCCGCCGCCGUAA
rnacentral:rRNA from 1 species